rnacentral:rRNA from 1 species
GAUGAACGCUGACAGAAUGCUUAACACAUGCAAGUCAACUUGAACUUCGGUUUGGGUGGCGGACGGGUGAGUAACGCGUAAAGAACUUGCCUCACAGUUAGGGACAACAUUUGGAAACGAAUGCUAAUACCUGAUAUUAUGAUUUUAGGGCAUCCUAGAAUUAUGAAAGCUAUAUGCGCUGUGAGAGAGCUUUGCGUCCCAUUAGCUAGUUGGAGAGGUAACGGCUCACCAAGGCGAUGAUGGGUAGCCGGCCUGAGAGGGUGAACGGCCACAAGGGGAAGGGAAACCGGCCCUUACCCCUACGGGAGGCAGCAGGGGGGAAUAUUGGAAAAGGGACCAAGGGUUUGAUCCAGCAAUUUUGGGGGAAAGAUGAAUUUUUUCGGAAUGAAAAGUUUUUUCAGUUGGGAAGAAAAAAAGGCCGAAACCAACAGAAGAAGGGACGGCUAAAUACGU